AGAUUAAAAAAAAAAAAAAAAAUGGCUGUACUCAUCUUCCUCCUAGCUCUUCCAGUAGUGUUAUUCUUGUUUCUUCUCAAGAAGAACAAUACUACUAAAAAAUAUCAUCUCCCGCCUGGUCCUAAGGGUCUUCCCAUCAUAGGAAACCUACACCAGCUUUACUUCUCCAUCCCUCAUAAGCGUAUAUGGGAACUUUCCAAAAAUUAUGGCCCCAUCAUGACCUUGAGAAUGGGAACUAGGCCAGCCAUUGUAGUAACUUCUGCAAAAUUGGCUAAAGACAUUAUGAAAACCUAUGAUCUUAAUUUCUGCAGUAGACCUGCCUUGGUGGGCUCUCACAAGCUCUCAUACAAUGGUUUAGACGUGGUUUUUUCACCUUAUGAUGAUUAUUGGAGGGAGAUUAGAAAAAUUACAGUGGUUCAUCUCUUCAACUCAAUUCGAUCCUCCACCUUCCGUCCCAUAAGAGAGGAUGAGGUUUCUCGCUUGGUGAACAACAUUUCCAAAUCAGCAGCUGCUUCUAAGCCUUUCAACUUGUCGGAAGCAAUGCUCGCACUUGGAAACAAUGUAACAAUUAGAGCUGCCACUGGCAAGAGAUGUGAUGUUGAAGAUAGGCUCACAAGGCUCGUCAGUGAAACUCAAGCCAUGUUUGCUGGAUUCUUCUUUUCAGAUUAUAUCCCUUACGUUGGCAAGAUUAUCGAUAGGCUCAGUGGAUUACUCCGUCGACUCAACAAGAACUUCUCAGAAUUUGAUGUUCUUUACCAAGAUAUCAUCGAUGAACACCUCCAGGCUAAGGCACCCAAGUCCGAAUGCGAGAACUUAGUGGAAGUUCUUAUUAAACUUUACAAGGAGAACGCAUAUAAAAUUCAACUCACUUUUGAUCACCUCAAAGCAAUUCUCAUGAAUGUGUUUAUUGCUGGAACAGACACAAGCGCCUCUGCUGUGAUUUGGGCCAUGUGCUUGCUGAUGAAGAAUCCGGAAAUAAUGAGAAAAACUCAAGAAGAACUCAGAAGUGUAAUUGGAAGGAAAGGUUUUGUGAAUGAAGAUGAUCUUCAGAAUUUGCCUUAUUAUAGGGCCAUGGUGAGGGAGACAAUGAGAUUGGAACCAGCAGCUCCAAUGCUUGUCCCAAGAGAGACAAUUUCAGACUGCAAAUUGGGAGGCUACGAUAUACCAGCCAAAAGCAUAGUUUACGUGAACAACUGGGCAGUUGGAAGGGACCCUGAAGCUUGGGAGAAUCCUCUUGAGUUCAGGCCUGAGAGAUUGUUGGAAAGUGGUAUCGAUGUGAAAGGAAAUGAUUAUGAACUAAUACCAUUUGGUGCUGGCAGAAGAAUUUGUCCUGGUUAUUUCAUGGGAAUGUCCAAUGUGGAGCUUUCUCUUGCUAAUUUUCUCUACAGAUUUGAUUGGGAAAUGCCUCCAGGGAUGAAAGCCGAUGACAUAGAUUUCAAUGAUGUGCGUCCAGGUAUUGUGGUGCACAAGAAGCACAAUCUUCUUUUAAUGGCUAAGGACUACUUGAGUACUGCAUAGAUUAAUUAAUAUGCGUUUCCCUCCUGCAUGAAUGUAGUUUUAAUGCAACUUUUUCAGCAUUUGCUUUAUAUGAGCUCUACGUAUUUGUAUUAUAAAAAAUCGGCUAAUCAAAGGCAGCCUGACUUAAGAUUCAUGGUUCUGUUGAAUAUUGAGUAGGAUUGUCUUAUCAAGUAUUUGGAUGUACUCUUAUUAUUAUGUAUAAAUAAUUUUUUUUCAGAAAAA
rnacentral:misc_RNA from 1 species